rnacentral:rRNA from 2 species
AAACUUUCAACAACGGAUCUCUUGGCUCUGGCAUCGAUGAAGAACGCAGCGAAAUGCGAUACGUAAUGCGAAUUGCAGAAUUCAGCGAGUCAUCGAAUCUUUGAACGCACAUUGCGCCCGCCAGCAUUCUGGCGGGCAUGC